rnacentral:rRNA from 1 species
UACGAAGGGGGCUAGCGUUGUCCGGAAUUACUGGGCGUAAAGAGCUCGUAGGUGGUUUGUCGCGUUGUUCGUGAAAACCCACAGCUUAACUGUGGGCGUGCGGGCGAUACGGGCAGACUGGAGUACUGCAGGGGAGACGGAAUUCCGGGUGGAGCGGUGAAAUGCGUAGAGAUCCGGAGGAACACCGAAGGCGAAGGCAGUCUCCUGGCAAGGGUCUGACGCUCAGGUGCGAAAGCUAGGGGAGCGAACAGG